AAUCUAACCUGCUCUGUGCAUCUCCUUGAGAUGCUAAGAAAGGAAGGGGAAGAUGGAAUGUGUUCCACCUCCAGGGGGCUAUGUCCAGCUGUUGCUCUUCAUUGAACAGACGGAAAAAAAGACACAUGAAGGGAUCAACCCCAGGGGUUCUCAGGGAACCAGAAGGUACUGGGAAUUGAGUCCAUGUUGGCUGCACACAAGGUGUAUGUGACUAGAAGGUCGAGUGGUGCUUGAAGCUAGACACCUGGUGCUGACACCCUGUUCUUGCCAACUUUGCCUAUAUUCUUCCUUCCGAGGGGCCUCGCUUCAGGACCGCUUUGCAA